GGACGGGUGACAUUAAGGGGGGGUGGGCGACCCCAGGGGGGGCUGGGUGACCCCCGGGGGUGACGUUUUUUUUGGGGGGGGGGCGCAGGCGCCUGUGCGAGCAGCAGUACGGGAACGCGCCGCGGGUGCGCAUCAACGGGCACGUGGCCGCCCGCUUCCCCUUCAUCCCCCUGCCCCUCGACUACAUCCUGCCCGAGCUGCUCAAGAACGCCAUGAGGAUCUCGGACCGGGGCGGGGGCAUCCCCCACGAGCUGCUGGACAAGGUGACCCAGUACCACUUCAGCACGGCCGAGGCCAGCGCCCAGGACCCCCGCCUGGGGGGCCCCUUCCGCAACCUCCUGGACCUCAGCCACGGCCCCCAGGCCUGCCCCAUGCACGGUUUUGGCUUCGGGUUGCCCACCUCCCGCGCCUACGCCGAGUACCUGGGGGGCUCGCUCUGCCUGCAGUCGCUGCAGGGGGUGGGCACCGACGUCUACCUGCGCCUCCGACACAUCGACGGCAAGGGGGAGAGCUUCCGAAUUUAGGGGGGGGGCCCAAAAUCUGCCUCGGGGACUCCAAAUUCUCCUUGGGGACUCCAAAAUCCUACUCGGCGGCCUCAAAAUCCUACUCGGGGACUCCAAAUUCCUCCUCGAGGAGCCCAGAUUCUCCUUGGUGGCCUCAAAAUCCUACUCGGGGACUCCAAAUGCUCCUCGGGGACUCCAAAUCCUCCUUGGGGAGCCCAAAUCCUCCUCGGUGGCAUCAAAAUCCUACUCGGGGACUCCAAAUUCAUCCUCAGCGGCCUCAAAUUCUACUCAAUGGCCUCAAAAUCCUCCUUGGGGACUCCAAAUUCUCCUCGGGGACGCCAAAUCCUACUCAACGGCCUCAAAAUCCUCCUCGGGGACUCCAAAUGCUCCUCGGGGACUCCAAAAUCCUACUCAGCGGCCUCAAAUUCUCCAUGGUGGCCUCAAAUUCUCCUCGGGGACUCCAAAUCCUCCUCGACGGCACCAAAAUCCUACUCGGGGACUCCAAAUCCUACUCGGGGAUGCCAAAUCCUGCUCGGGGACUCCAAAUUCCUCUUCAACAGCCUCAAAUUCCUCCUUGGGGACUCCAAAUCCUCUUCGGCGGCCUCAAAAUCCUCCUCGGGGACUCCAAAUUCCUACUCGGCGGCCUCAAAUUCUCCUCGGCGACCUCCAAAUCCUCCUCGGGGACCUCAAAUUCCUCCUUUAGGGACUCCAAAUUCAUCCUCAACGGCCUCAAAAUCCUCGGGGACUCCAAAUCAUCCUUGGAGACUCCAAAUUCCUCUUCAACGGCACCAAAAUUCUCCUCGGCGGCCUCAAAAUCCUCCUCGGGGACUCCCAAUUCCUCUUCAACGGCACCAAAAUCCUCCUUGGGGACUUCAAAAUCCUCCUCGGCGGCCUCAAAUCUUUCUGGGGGGCCCAAAUGCUCCUCGGGGACCUCAAAUUCUCCUUGGGGACUCCAAAAUCCUACUCGGUGGCCUCAAAAUCCAACUCGGGGACUGCAAAUCCUGCUCGGGGACACCAAAUCCUACUCAUCGGCCUCAAAUCCUCCUUGGGGACCCCAAAUGCUCCUUGGGGACUCCAAAUUCUACUCAACGGCCUCAAAAUCCUCCUCGGGGACUCCAAGUCCUCCUCGGUGGCCUCAAAUUCCUCCUCGGCCUUGCCUCGAUAGCGGUGUCACCUCCCUGGUGGCCUCCCUGGUGGCCUCCCUGGUGGCCUCACCUCCCCGGUGGCCUCCCCCCUUGGGCCUCCUAAAUGGUGUCACCUCCUUGGUGGCCUCCUCCUGAUGUCACCUCCCUGGUGGCCUCCCCAUCGAUGUCACCUCCUUGGUGGCCUCCCUGAUGGCCUCACCUCCUUGGUGGCCUCCCCAUCAAUGUCACCUUGUUGGUGGCCUCAACCCUUGGCCUCCUUGGUGGCCUCCUCAGCAAUGUCACCUUGUUGGUGGCCUUCCCAACAGUGUCACCUCCCUGGUGGCCUCCCUGAUGGCCUCCCCAUCAAUGUCACCUCCCCAGUGGCCUCAACCCUUGGUGGCCUCAACCCUUGGGCCUCCCCAUCAAUGUCACCUCCUUGGUGACCUCCCUGAUGGCCUCAACCCUUGGCCUCCUCACUGACGUCACCUCCCUGGUGGCCUUGGUGGCCUCCCCUUGGGCCUCCCCAUCAAUGUCACCUCCCUGGUGGCCUCCCCAUCAAUGUCACCUCCUUGGUGGCCUCAACCCUUGGCCUCCUCACUGAUGUCACCUCCCUGGUGGCCUCAACCCUUGGUGGCCUCCUGGUGGUGUCACCCCCCUGGUGACCUCCUUGGUGGCCUCCUCAUUAAUGUCACCUCCCUGGUGGCCUCAACCCUUGGGCCUCCACUGUGAUGUCACCUCCCUGGUGGCCUCCCCAUCAAUGUCACCUCCCUGGUGGCCUCAACCCUUGGUGGCCUCCACCGUGGUAUCACCUCCUUGGUGGCCUCCUGGUGGUGUCACCCCCUUGGUGGCCUCCCUGGUGGCCUCCCCAUCAAUGUCACCCCCUUGGUGGCCUCAACCCUUGGUGGCCUCCUCGG
rnacentral:lncRNA from 1 species